rnacentral:rRNA from 1 species
UCCUACGGGACGCAGCAGUAGGGAAUAUUGCAUAAUGGGCGCAAGCCUGAUGCAGCAACGCCGCGUGUGCGAUGAAGGCCUUCGGGUUGUAAAGCACUUUUGGCCGGGAAGAGGAAGGACGGUACCGGUCGAAGAAGCCUCGGCUAACUACGUGCCAGCAGCCGCGGUAAAACGUAGGAGGCGAGCGUUAUCCGGAUUUACUGGGUGUAAAGCGCGUGCAGGCGGUUGGCUAAGUUGGGUGUGAAAGCUCCUGGCUCAACUGGGAGAGGUCGCUCAAGACUGGUCGACUGGAGAGCAGUAGAGGAAGGUGGAAUUCCGGGUGUAGUGGUGAAAUGCGUAGAUAUCCGGAGGAACACCAGUGGCGAAAGCGGCCUUCUGGACUGCAUCUGACGCUCAGACGCGAAAGCUAGGGGAGCAAACGGGAUUAGAUACCCCCGUAGUCCC